AUUGAACGCUGGCGGCAUGCCUUACACAUGCAAGUCGAACGGCAGCGCGGAUUUCGGUCUGGCGGCGAGUGGCGAACGGGUGAGUAAUACAUCGGAACGUACCCUGUUGUGGGGGAUAACUAGUCGAAAGAUUAGCUAAUACCGCAUACGACCUGAGGGUGAAAGUGGGGGACCGCAAGGCCUCACGCAGCAGGAGCGGCCGAUGUCUGAUUAGCUAGUUGGUGGGGUAAAGGCCCACCAAGGCGACGAUCAGUAGCUGGUCUGAGAGGACGAUCAGCCACACUGGGACUGAGACACGGCCCAGACUCCUACGGGAGGCAGCAGUGGGGAAUUUUGGACAAUGGGAGCAACCCUGAUCCAGCAAUGCCGCGUGUGUGAAGAAGGCCUUCGGGUUGUAAAGCACUUUUGUCCGGAAAGAAAUCGCGCUGGUUAAUACCUGGCGUGGAUGACGGUACCGGAAGAAUAAGCACCGGCUAACUACGUGCCAGCCGCCGCAGUAACAC
rnacentral:rRNA from 1 species